GCCCUCUCUCUCUCUCUCUCUCUCUCUCUCUCUCUCAUUACAUCUACCUACAACAAAAACAAUGAUUCUCGAGCCUUUCAUCCGAUCAAUCUUUCGACGAUCGGAGUUUGCAAGCUUGGAGUGGUUGGUGCUAUGAUCUGGUCCUUAUUUUGAGGGAUUUUUCAGUUUUUGUGGUUUUUCUGAGGAUCAGAAGUGGUUUUUGGAGCUGGAUUUAAGGUUUUUGUUGUGAAAAGUAUAGAGAGGGUUUUAGGGACCUGGAGAUCUAAUUCUCGUCUGGUUGAUUUGAUUCUGGUAGGAAUCGUCGUGGAGAUUCUGGCAUCAGUGAGCGGUUAGGAUUAUGCAGCAACAAGGAGGAUCGGUUUAGGUGGUGCUAGUGGAAAGAAAGGUUGUGGGCAUACAACUCAUUACCCUUUAAAUUAGGCCGAAAAGACAAGGGAAUCGUUGGAAGCUUGGUGACUAUGGUCAGCUGGUGGCUGGUUUCAUACGCUUUCAACUUUUUCACUAGUAAGAGCUCAUCGGGAGAGUAGUCAUAUGAUCCUAGUAUAGUUGUUUGGUUAUUGGGCGGUUUCAUAUACUUUGUUAGUAUUUGCUGGUGGUUGUUUAUUUUAUUUUUGUUGGCAUGAAAAGUUUAGAUUGUACUUGCAGACUGCCCAAGUGAGCAGCCUCGAGUGAUUCAAAUGUGUUUUCUUGCCUUCAUAUUAUGAUUUU